rnacentral:rRNA from 1 species
GAGUUUGAUCCUGGCUCAGGACGAACGCUGGCGGCACGCCUAGCACAUGCAAGUCGAACGGAGAUAUUUUGGUUUAMUGAGAUAUYUUAGUGGCGGACGGGUGAGUAACACGUGAGCAACCUGCCUYUGAGAGAGGGAUAGCUUCUGGAAACGGAUGGUAAUACCUCAUAACAUAACGAAGCCGCAUGACUUUGUUAUCAAAGAUUUAUCACUCAGAGAUGGGCUCGCGUCUGAUUAGAUAGUUGGUGAGGUAACGGCUCACCAAGUCGACGAUCAGUAGCCGGACUGAGAGGUUGAACGGCCACAUUGGGACUGAGACACGGCCCAGACUCCUACGGGAGGCAGCAGUGGGGAAUAUUGCACAAUGGGGGAAACCCUGAUGCAGCGAUGCCGCGUGGAGGAAGAAGGUUUUCGGAUUGUAAACUCCUGUCUAAAGGACGAUAAUGACGUACUAGAAGAG